GUUUUGAAAAUUGGACCGGAUCAGCCGAUUCGACCGGUUUAACCAUGAACCGAAUGCUUUUACGGUUUGGUUUAACCUAUAAAAUCGUCAAUUACAAAAUUCUUUAGAAAUCGCUGAACCGACUGAGAACCGGCCAGUUGGACCAAACCGAGAGCCGGCCGGUUUUCCUAAAACGGUACGUUCAGUGCCUCCUCUCAACUCUCACUCUCUCAAACAUCUCUCUUCCCCCAAAACAAAAACCCUAGCAGAUGAGCAGUAGCCUCCACCGCCGCCGCAAGGAGGGAGACACUGCCGUCGUCGUUCUUGAGCUCUCCAACUCCUGUUUACUCCAACUCCUCUCAACUUUCACUCUCUCAAACGAAGCUCUCUUCUACAAAAAGAAACCCUAGCUUACAGUAGCCUCUACUACCGUGGCAAGGAGGGAGACAGUGUCGCCGUCCAUCGCGCCGUCGUCGUUCUUGAGCUCUCCAACCCCUAUUCACUCCAAUCGCAGCUUCUUCGUCGAG